AUUGAACGCUGGCGGCAGGCCUAACACAUGCAAGUCGAGCGGAUGACAGGAGCUUGCUCCUGUAUUCAGCGGCGGACGGGUGAGUAAUGCCUAGGAAUCUGCCUGGUAGUGGGGGACAACGUUUCGAAAGGAACGCUAAUACCGCAUACGUCCUACGGGAGAAAGCAUGGGACCUUCGGGCCUUGCGCUAUCAGAUGAGCCUAGGUCGGAUUAGCUAGUUGGUGAGGUAAUGGCUCACCAAGGCGACGAUCCGUAGCUGGUCUGAGCGGAUGAUCAGCCAAACGGGGACUGAGACACGGUCCAGAGUCCUACGGGAGGCAGCAGUGGGGAAUAUUGGACAAUGGGCGAAAGCCUGAUCCAGCCAUGCCGCGUGUGUGAAGAAGGUCUUCGGAUUGUAAAGCACUUUAAGUUGGGAGGAAAUGUUGUAGAUUAAUACCUUGCAAUUUUGACGUUACCGACAGAAUAAGCACCGGCUAACUCUGUGCCAGCCGCCGCAGUAAAAC
rnacentral:rRNA from 1 species